rnacentral:rRNA from 1 species
GACAGAGGAUGCAAGCGUUAUCCGGAAUGAUUGGGCGUAAAGCGUCUGUAGGUGGCUUUUCAAGUCCGCCGUCAAAUCCCAGGGCUCAACCCUGGACAGGCGGUGGAAACUACCAAGCUGGAGUACGGUAGGGGCAGAGGGAAUUUCCAGUGGAGCGGUGAAAUGCGUAGAGAUUGGAAAGAACACCAAUGGCGAAAGCACUUUACUGGGCUAUCACUGACACUGAGAGACGAAAGCUAGGGGAGCGAAUGGG